rnacentral:rRNA from 1 species
AAUUCCAAGCUUAACGCGAAGAACCUUACCAGGUCUUGACAUCCUCUGACAACCCUAGAGAUAGGGCUUUCCCUUCGGGGACAGAGUGACAGGUGGUGCAUGGUUGUCGUCAGCUCGUGUCGUGAGAUGUUGGGUUAAGUCCCGCAACGAGCGCAACCCUUGAUCUUAGUUGCCAGCAUUCAGUUGGGCACUCUAAGGUGACUGCCGGUGACAAACCGGAGGAAGGUGGGGAUGACGUCAAAUCAUCAUGCCCCUUAUGACCUGGGCUACACACGUGCUACAAUGGACAGAACAAAGGGCUGCGAGACCGCAAGGUUUAGCCAAUCCCACAAAUCUGUUCUCAGUUCGGAUCGCAGUCUGCAACUCGACUGCGUGAAGCUGGAAUCGCUAGUAAUCGCGGAUCAGCAUGCCGCGGUGAAUACGUUCCCGGGCCUUGUACACACCGCCCGUA